UACAGAGGGUGCGAGCGUUAUUCGGAAUUACUGGGCGUAAAGCGCGCGUAGGCGGCUUUUCAAGCCGAUUGUGAAAUCCCCGGGCUUAACCUGGGAACUGCAGUCGGGACUGUCUAGCUAGAGUAUGGGAGAGGGAAGUGGAAUUUCAGGUGUAGCGGUGAAAUGCGUAGAUAUCUGAAGGAACAUCAGUGGCGAAAGCGACUUCCUGGAUCAAUACUGACGCUCAUGUGCGAAAGCGUGGGGAGCAAACAGG
rnacentral:rRNA from 1 species